rnacentral:rRNA from 1 species
UACGGAGGGGACUAGCGUUGUUCGGAAUUACUGGGCGUAAAGCGCACGUAGGCGGAUUUGUAAGUCAGGGGUGAAAUCCCGAGGCUCAACCUCGGAACUGCCUUUGAUACUGCAAAUCUCGAGUCCAGAAGAGGUGAGUGGAAUUCCUAGUGUAGAGGUGAAAUUCGUAGAUAUUAGGAAGAACACCAGUGGCGAAGGCGGCUCACUGGUCCGGUACUGACGCUGAGGUGCGAAAGCGUGGGGAGCAAACAGG